UAAUACGUAGGAGGCGAGCGUUAUCCGGAUUUACUGGGCGUAAAGAGGACGUAGGCGGUUUUUCAAGUCGGAUGUAAAAUCUCCCGGCUUAACUGGGAGGGAUCAUUCGAUACUGUUGGACUAGAGGGCAGCAGGGGGAGGUGGAAUUCCCGGUGUAGUGGUGAAAUGCGUAGAUAUCGGGAGGAACACCAGUGGCGAAGGCGGCCUCCUGGGCUGUUGCUGACGCUGAGGUCCAAAAGCGUGGGGAGCAAACAGGCUUAGAUACCCCGGUAGUCCACGCUGUAAACUAUGGACACUAGGUAUGGGGAGUAUCGACCCUCUCCGUGCCGAAGCUAACGCUUUAAGUGUCCCGCCUGGGGAGUACGGUCGCAAGGCUA
rnacentral:rRNA from 1 species